GAUGAACGCUGGCGGCGUGCCUAAUACAUGCAAGUCGAGCGAACGGACGAGAAGCUUGCUUCUCUGAUGUUAGCGGCGGACGGGUGAGUAACACGUGGAUAACCUACCUAUAAGACCGGGAUAACUUCGGGAAACCGGAGCUAAUACCGGAUAAUAUUUUGAACCGCAUGGUUCAAAAGUGAAAGACGGUCUUGCUGUCACUUAUAGAUGGAUCCGCGCUGCAUUAGCUAGUUGGUAAGGUAACGGCUUACCAAGGCAACGAUGCAUAGCCGACCUGAGAGGGUGAUCGGCCACUCUGGAACUGAGACACGGUCCAGACUCCUACGGGAGGCAGCAGUAGGGAAUCUUCCGCAAUGGGCGAAAGCCUGACGGAGCAACGCCGCGUGAGUGAUGAAGGUCUUCGGAUCGUAAAACUCUGUUAUUAGGGAAGAACAUAUGUGUAAGUAACUGUGCACAUCUUGACGGUACCUAAUCAGAAAGCCACGGCUAACUACGUG
rnacentral:rRNA from 1 species